rnacentral:misc_RNA from 1 species
UCCCCGCUGGAGCGGCGACGUCCUACCUCGCAUCCCUCCUCAGUUGUCGGCGCAAGAGUCACCAGCCUUGGCCGUUCUUAGUUGGUUUCCUGUGUUGCGUACCUACCGGAAGGAAUUCGGCCGUCACAAAGCCACGGAAGUCCCCCCGACGCCGUCCCUUGUGGGCGCGGUGUGGGGUGGACAGCGAAGGCGAGUUCGCGUUCCGAGCCGCAGCCGAGAGGCGCGUCCCGGCCCGUGAGCUGCCGCCUGAGCUCUCGGACGCGGAGCACCAGGAGGGCAGGAGGGCCCCUGAGGCCUCCGUUUGCCCCGAAACCGGCGUCAAUCGCCCGCAUCGAACGACCGCCGUCGUCGCGUCGAGACGUUGCGGCCCUCGGGCCCCUCGGCCUUGUGCGACGUCGGCGUCGGUUA